rnacentral:rRNA from 1 species
UACGGAGGGGGGCAAGCGUUGUUCGGAAUUACUGGGCGUAAGGGCGCGCAGGCGGCUGCUCAAGUCAGGCGUGAAAGGCCUGGGCUCAACCCGGGAAUUGCGCUUGAGACUGGGCUGGCUUGAGUGCGGGGAGAGGAGUGGUGGAAUUCCCAGUGUAGAGGUGAAAUUCGUAGAUAUUGGGAAGAACACCGGUGGCGAAGGCGGCCAUCUGGACCGCAACUGACGCUGAGGCGCGAAACGUGGGGAGCAACAGGGAUUAAGAUACC